rnacentral:rRNA from 1 species
GAUGAACGCUAGCGGCAGGCCUAACACAUGCAAGUCGAGGGAGAAGCUCUUCGGGGCAGAAACCGGCGCACGGGUGCGUAACGCGUAUGCAACCUACCUUUCACAGGGGGAUAGCCCGAAGAAAUUUGGAUUAAUACCCCAUAAUAUUAUUGGAUGGCAUCAUUUGAUAAUUAAAAUUACGAUGGUGAAAGAUGGGCAUGCGUCCUAUUAGCUAGUUGGAGUGGUAACGGCACCCCAAGGCUACGAUAGGUAGGGGUCCUGAGAGGGAGAUCCCCCACACUGGUACUGAGACAGGGACCAGACUCCUACGGAAGGCAGCAGUGAGGAAUAUUGGUCAAUGGUCGGAAGACUGAACCAGCCAUGCCGCGUGCAGGAAGAAUGCCUUAUGGGUUGUAAACUGCUUUUAUAUGGGAAGAAUAAGGAGUACGUGUACUUGGUGACGGUACCAUAUGAA